CCUACGGGGGGCAGCAGUGGGGAAUAUUGCACAAUGGGGGAAACCCUGAUGCAGCGACGCCGCGUGAGCGAAGAAGUAUUUCGGUAUGUAAAGCUCUAUCAGCAGGGAAGAAAAUGACGGUACCUGCGUAAGAAGCUCCGGCUAACUACGUGCCAGCAGCCGCGGUAAUACGUAUGGAGCAAGCGUUAUCCGGAUUUACUGGGCGUAAAGGGAGCGUAGGCGGCCUGCCAAGUCUGAUGUGAAAUACCGGGGCUCAACCCCGGGGCUGCAUUGGAAACUGGCAGGCUGGAGUGCCGGAGAGGCAGGCGGAAUUCGUAGUGUAGCGGUGAAAUGCGUAGAUAUUAGGAGGAACACCGGUGGCGAAGGCGGCUUACUGGACCGUAACUGACGUUGAGGCUCGAAAGCGUGGGGAGCAAACAGGAUUAGAUACCCUUGUAGUC
rnacentral:rRNA from 1 species